AUUGAACGCUGGCGGCAUGCCUUACACAUGCAAGUCGAACGGUAACGCGGGGCAACCUGGCGACGAGUGGCGAACGGGUGAGUAAUGCAUCGGAACGUGCCCAGUAGUGGGGGAUAGCCCGGCGAAAGCCGGAUUAAUACCGCACACGACCUACGGGUGAAAGCGGGGGACCGUAAGGCCUCGCGCUAUUGGAGCGGCCGAUGUCAGAUUAGGUUGUUGGUGGGGUAAAAGCCUACCAAGCCGACGAUCUGUAGCUGGUCUGAGAGGACGACCAGCCACACUGGGACUGAGACACGGCCCAGACUCCUACGGGAGGCAGCAGUGGGGAAUUUUGGACAAUGGGGGCAACCCUGAUCCAGCCAUGCCGCGUGCGGGAAGAAGGCCUUCGGGUUGUAAACCGCUUUUGUCAGGGAAGAAACGCUCUGGGCUAAUACCCCGGGGUAAUGACGGUACCUGAAGAAUAAGCACCGGCUAACUACGUGCCAGCCGCCGCCGUAAAAC
rnacentral:rRNA from 1 species